UGCAAGUCGAACGAGAAAGCACCUUCGGGUGUGAGUAGAGUGGCGCACGGGUGAGUAACGCGUAGAUAAUCUGCCUUACAGUGGGGGAUAACUCAGAGAAAUUUGAGCUAAUACCGCAUACGUAUCAUGACAUGGAAAAAAUGAUAGAAAGGAUGCUUCGGCAUUCGCUGAAAGAUGAGUCUGCGUUGCAUUAGCUUGUUGGUGGGGUAAUGGCCUACCAAGGCAACGAUGCAUAGCGGGUCUGAGAGGAUGAUCCGCCACACUGGAACUGAGACACGGUCCAGACUCCUACGGGAGGCAGCAGUGGGGAAUAUUGCGCAAUGGGGGAAACCCUGACGCAGCAAUGCCGCGUGAGUGAGGAAGGCCUUCGGGUUGUAAAGCUCUGUCAGAUGGGAAGAAAACUACUUGGUCUAAUAGGCCUUGUAACUGACGGUACCAUCAAAGGAAGCACCGGCUAACUUCGUGCCAGCAGCCGCGGUAAUACGAAGGGUGCAAGCGUUGUUCGGAUUUACUGGGCGUAAAGCGCGCGCAGGCGGUUUGGUAAGUCAGAUGUGAAAUCUCGGGGCUCAACCCCGAAACUGCGUCUGAAACUACUGAACUAGAGUUAUGGAGGGGAGAGCGGAAUUUCGCAUGUAGGGGUAAAAUCCGUAGAGAUGCGAAGGAACACCAGAGCCGAA
rnacentral:rRNA from 1 species